GACUCGAUGUGGCCCCGCAGGUCGAAGUCGUCCUUCCUCACAGGCAGGUAACGGGUCAGCGGACGAGACUAUGAAGAGAUGGGGGUCAAGGGUCAAAGAAGAGAAGAGCAUAUAGAAGCGUGGAGAAGAGCAUAUAGAAGCUUCACCUCCCUCUCGAUGAGUUUCUGUCGUCGACUCGUUUCCUCCUGCAGUCGUUUCUCCAGAUCUUCCCUCCUCCUGCGCUCCUCCUCCAGAGCCUGACGCCGCACCUCCAUCUCUCGCUCCUGAACACAUUUAGCUUCAUCAGCGCCGCUGUAACUACAGGGAGAACAUCUGGUUUCCGAGGUUUGGACUUUUAACCUUCAACAUGCUCACAGUUAAAGAGGAACUCAUUCUACAGACAGAUUUGAGGCUCUGAGACAGAGCGGACGGAUUGGUGGGUGGUGAUGGAUUUGGAGAAUUCAGAAAACGGUGCUCACCCUGUGCUCCAGGAGUCGGUGUUUCUCAGCCUGAGCCUCCCUCAGCAGCCGCUCCAUCUCCUCGAUCUUGGCCACGUUGGAGGUGCUGGCGCUGCACACAACAAAUGAAAAACAUCCGUGAGUUUCUGCACGGUUCCUGCAAACUUCUCACCCUACAUCUCUACACGAGACACUACGCGGAAGACGCAGGGCAACGAUUCCCUCCAAAAAAAAUAAACGUCCUCAAAAUAAACCCAUUGUUUUGAAGAGCGCAGGAGGAAUCAAUAAAGCCGGGUCUGUGCUGGAAUGCAUUAGGAGCCCAGACCCAGAUUCCGAUGCUUUCCACUUUAAAAGCUCAAAUAUAACACGUGGAACCCAUCGAAGUAGUCCCGUCUCCCCCAAAAUCCCCCCUUCAAAUAUUUUCCCUCCAAAACUCUUACUCUAUCCUCCAAGCCUCAAGUCCAAACCUCAACUUUGUCUCAAACUCGACUGGAUGAAGAAGUUUCUUCUCUGAAGGAGCCUAUAAAAAUCCCUACAACAGAAUGUUUCCCUUCUAGGAAUGAUAUAACCGCUUCACAAACCUAGAACCCUUACAUUCAAUGAACCCUUGAGGAACCUCUCUUGUAAGAGCAUACACAGUUCCUGUACAGGUUCCUUGUGUGACUGAGAAGAGGAACCGUAAGCAUUAACAGAAGCAAACUAUCCAAUAAUGGUGCUGGAGGUGGAGAUUAAAUAUGUGGAGGUAUCUAGAACCUAUAAGGGUCUUCGGUUUAUUGGUUUGCAUGUACAGUAUAACUCUUCCGACAGGGGUUUCGUGAGCACAGGAUCUUGUACCUGUUUACUGUGCUGAUUAAUUUAAAGAUCCUGGGUCCUUAAAACGGUCUCUGGUUCCUAAAAAAGUUCCUGGGUUUCUCAAAAGGUUCCCUAAUUGAUGUUGCUGGGAGGUUCCUUUUAGCACUCCAAAGCUACAAAAGCAUUGCUUAGAUUACAGAUGUAGAAGGUUCCAUCUAGCACACCAAGGGUUCUUGGGUUUGUACCUCUAGGGAUGAAGGUUCUGUGUUAAAUAUUAAAACAAAAGUACCAAAUAGAACUCCUUCAAAAAGAAAAAAAUAGAAAUUCCUGAUGAUUGGCUGGAUCAUGAAUUCCAUAAGUGGGAUAUUUCUUCUCAGGUGUGAAUCGGGUCUGAGGUCAGCUUCUUAGACACACCAUACAGUUCUGAUCUCUCAGCUGUGAGAGCGUGGAACCUGAAAACACCCCUAAUUACAGGAGUACACAAUCCGGUUCUAUAAUCACAGCUGCACGGCUAUAAUCAGAGCCGCUGCUAGUUACUAACACGGACGUCCACACAAACACAAACCGGCUCAAUCCGCAUGCGGACAUGACGGCAGCUCGCAAAAAACGCCACGGUUCCACGUACUGACACGUCUGACACGCGUCUCCAUCUACUUGUCCAUCCCCCCUCGUUCCACAACAAACAAACGCUAACAUCUGCAGUAAACUGUAACAAACUCAUCUCUCAGCGCCAUCAUCAUCAUCAUCAUCAUCACGAAGCGUUUCCUUACCGACGUUCCUGAAUCAGAACUAAAUCCAUAUCCACGUUAGAUCCUGGAGAAAACUCUGCAGCACACAAAGAAGUGCUGCACAUACGACCAGCGCGAGACUCUGCUCUUCAUUACAUUCAAACUGAGGGGGGGGGAAAUUCCCGAAAUCUGUUUCCUCUGACUGUUCCCGGUGUAAUCCGAGCCCCGCUGGUCCCGGGGUUGAGUUGAGUGAUGGAGGAGGUGAAGAGCAGCGCGGCUCUCUCGAGUCCAGCACACGCUUUACAUUAAUCCAGCUCCAGGCCUCACACACAUGAACACACACGGCACUCUGCUGCUCUGACGGAUGAGCUCAUAACGACGUGUGGCGUGUUUCCUUUUUAAAUCAAUCCAAACCUCUAUCCGCUGGGGAAGACGGAGGAGAAACAACAAAGCGUGCAUCCUAAAAGAUUCUUCAGUUUGUUUCUUAUGUAAAGAAUGACAUUAGAGGAACUUUAUUUGUGCGGUGGAACCAACAAUCUCUUUGACUAUAAUAACGAAAGCGUGCUGGAAAAGCGAGUGGGACCGUGGCUGCGAGCGUCUGACCUGGAGA